CCGAGGGAAACACAUCUACUAUAAAAGGAAAACAACGGAACAACAGAAACACUGAAGUGCAACAAAAACAAACGCUAAUGCAACAUAAAUAGAAACGAACUAUUUGAUAACAACUGCCAUAUUCCUGACUUGGGACAUAUAUUUUAUGAAAAAAAGGUGGAUUGAACCUGGUUUUAUGGCUUGUAUCUUGUAUCUAUGCGAGUUUUGGUUCUGACGAACAUUUUGCCGUAACUAAAUGUCUCGACUGUAAGAUGAACUUGUGCAUGAACUGUCACGGCUACCAUAAGAAAAUAAAUAAAAAGAUCACAGAAUCAAUGGCGUAGGAACUUAAAAUUAUAUCAAUCAAAACAACAUGAUAGGCAGUAAGUAAACGAAUGUGAUGAACACAGGACAGAAUUGACUUUAUUUUGUAUACCUUGUAAUAAUUUUUUUGUGGAAUAAGAGCUCAGAGAAAUCACAUCAUAUGCACGAAAUCCAGAAUCUGACACCGUUGAUUCAUAUUAGAAAGAACAUUUUCCUUGUUUGAACAAUAAGCUUGAAAUCAAGCAAACACUUCAAGAAUGAAAGAUGUAUUUUGUAAUACUUCUGAUACAAUGUAAGCGAGUGACAGGUUUCAUAAAGACUCUUAGUUUAACGACUUUAAUGCACAUUUCUAACAUAGUAUAUAGUAUGUAACAUUCGAAUGAUUAUUAACCGUACUUUCUGUUUUGCCCGGUCGUCAAUAAUUCGUACGGUGCAAUUUUCGUUAAAUCAAGGUCAAAGGUCAAAAUUGAAAAUUCGUGAAUUUUGCUCGAAUUAAACAAAAUGCCAUUUUCUGGUACGUGUAUGAUAAACAAAAUAUAUUCCAAUAAGGAUGCAAACUAAAAUGUUGAUUGUCCCAUAUUUACAGAAAAUUUCAUUUCUUGAGAACUUCCUAUAGACAUGAAUAUCAAUUAUAUGCUCAUUAUUAUAAAUUUCCUGUUUACAAAACUAUGAAUUUUUCGAAAAACUAAGGAUUUUCUUAUCCCAGGCAUAGAUUACCUUAGCCGUAUUUGGCACAACUUUUUGGAAUUUUUGGUCCUCAACGCUCUUCAACUUUGUAUUUGUCUGGCUUUUUAACUGUUUUGUUCUGAGCG
rnacentral:lncRNA from 1 species